rnacentral:tRNA from 1 species
GUGGGGUUGUGGCUCAGCGGUAGAACGCUCUCCUCACAUGUGCGAGACCCUGGGUUCGAUCCUCAGCACCACA